rnacentral:rRNA from 1 species
CCGCAAAAAUAUCUCCCAAAUUCCCCAACGCCCCACGACUUGGCAACCCUAAUCAGCUUCCCCCACCAAUUCUCGAUUCCCCGUCGCCGAGCUCCCCCUCCCAACCCUAGCGCCAGAUCCGCUCGCUCGCCCGCGCAGCCAUGGCGGAGUCCCUCGACAUGUCCCUCGAGGACAUCAUCAAGAGCAACAAGAAGGGCAACUCCUCGUCCGGCGGGGGUGGCCGCCGCCGCGAGGGCCGCCUUGGAUCUGCCGCCGCCGGCAGCGGCGCGGCCGCGGCCGCCGCCGGAGGCGUCCGCCCCAACAGGCGCGCCUUCAAGAGGUCGGGGAACAGGGCGGCGCCCUACCAGCCGCCGAAGGCCCCGGAAUCGGCGUGGCAGCACGACAUGUACUCUGACGCCUCUGCCAGAGGCGGCGGCGGCGGGAGGGUCUCUGCUAUCGAGACCGGCACCAAGCUCCUCAUCACCAAUUUGGACUUCGGCGUCUCAACCGAGGACCUCAAGGAGCUUUUCUCCGAGCUGGGUGAUGUGAAGCGAUGCUUGAUUCACUAUGACCGAAGUGGGAGGUCUAAGGGAACAGCUGAGGUUAUAUUUGCAAGGCGUGGUGAUGCUGUUGCAGCGCUGAGGAAAUACAACAAUGUCCAACUUGAUGGCAAGCCUAUGAAAAUAGAGAUACUUGGGACUAACACUCCUACUGCUCCAGCUGCACUACCAACCAAUAAUGGAACCUAUGCUAGGAAUGUUGCUAAGAGUGCACCAAGGGGUGUCUCAGCUAGUUUGCCACAGAACAGACCCCGUGCAAGGGGUGGGAGGGGUCGUCGUGGUGGUGGCGGAGGCAGUGGAUCUGGCGGUCGUCGUGGGAAAGAGCGUAGCCAGCCAAGGUCUGCUGAAGAACUUGAUGCUGAGUUGGAGAAGUACCAUGCACAGGGUACGACGCCGAUGCAGACCACCGAAUAAAUCGACAUCUUUGCAGCGUUGAUAUUCAACAUGAAAUUUGAAGGGUGCCCCUUUGUUCCCGCUUUUUGUGCUACUAUAUGUUCAAGGGACAACAAAACCUUUUACUUGUCAGGUUCUUGGCUUACUGAAUUGUAUGGGUUAUGUGUCUACAUAGAACUAGAGUUGAGUGGAUACCGGUGAACACUACUGUUAUGAACAUUACUUGAUUGCCUUUAGUUUCUGCCUUCCUUGAGGAGCGCAAGGACUAAGGACCACCCAAGUUGCUCCGCAUGUGAAAGUUAUUGAAGAUGUAUGAGGUGCUCACAUUCCUUUGCCGCCCAUCUAGAGGCUGAAAUUCAGAUGUGUCAUGGUGAUCAAGCUAAACCCUUAUUUUGGGUGGUCUUUGGGCGUUGUUUCCCCGCUGAACGAUCUUUUAAGCUUCAGCCAUCUUUAGUAAGAGGUGGUUGCUACUCUUGUGUUAUUAUGCUAGCAUUGCUUUAUUCUCUUGCCCAUAGCAAAGCUACAUGCCAGCUGGAGAGAUUGUGUGAUCUUCCUUCGCCAGGUGCUCAACAAGUUGCCUGGUAUGGUUAUUGUGGCUUUGCUAAUUGUGCUUCUUCCUAAUCAAGGUGCAAAUCUAGCAAUAUUCUCUUCAUGUACCGAGUCACAUGCCAGCUGGAAGUUUUGCGUGAUCUUCCUUCUUCAGGGGUCAAUAAAGUGUCUGAUACGAGUAUGGUGGAUUCGCUAGUUGGGGUUCUUUACUGAAGAAGCAUUAAGGUGCAAAUCUUGCUUUGCGAUCUGCUAACAGUUGAGGGUUGUCAAUUGGUUUGGUGGUACACAGAUUUUCCAUUCUUUGGACGCCCCUUUGGCCCCCUUGCAGCCAACUAGGCUCGAAAUAUUAUUUGGAACCCAACUAAUCUGGCUGAUCUAUUCAACUAUAUCUUUGUUCCUUGCCGGGGAUCUGAAGCGUAGGUUCGAAUUUUGCUGUUGGGUUGCAUGAUUGCAGAUGAAUGUUGGCUUGAAGUUGGCCAAAUCAGCUUAGAAUUUUCGGUGGCAUGAUAAACCACUGAAGUACCGAGUUGCUUGUUUUAGUUUUUCUCUAUUCCAAUGUGGUAAGUGUUGCAUUGGUAGACGUUCCGUUGUUUUAGUAUUGUUUUGUUGCUUCUUUUGUUUGGAACUGCCAUAUACUAGAUUGUGCUGUGUUGGAUUUUAUGCUUCCGAGGAAAUGGCAUUUCGCUAUGGUUCCUUUUUUGCCAUAAAGGAUUAUGCAUGUUAGGAAAUAUUUUAUAUACAAUGUGGCUUCUAUCUGCGUUUUGUGGUUGAAGAGGUUUUUAUUUAGUGAGAACCUGAACGAAACUGCUGUACGGACGGUAGUCGACAGCCGAACUAUUCAAUGGUGGUGUUCACUUUUGCUCCCUGCAUCGAUGGCCUGAUGUGUGACUCGUAGGCUUUGUAGCAGCGUUCGAACCUGAACGCUGUUGCAGAUUGCAAGUAGCACGACUGUGCCCAGGUGAAACUACCAAU